GAUGAACGCUGGCGGCGUGCCUGACACAUGCAAGUCGAGCGAGAUCUUCUGGAACGAAACUUCGGUCUAGCGAAGGAAGUGGAAGCGGCGGACGGGUGAGUAACGCGUAGGCAACCUGCCCCAUACAGAGGGAUAGCCUCGGGAAACCGGGAUUAAAACCUCAUAACGCGAUCUGGCCACAUGACCGGAUCGCCAAAGAUUUAUCGGUAUGGGAUGGGCCUGCGUCUGAUUAGCUAGUUGGUGAGGUAACGGCUCACCAAGGCGACGAUCAGUAGCCGACCUGAGAGGGUAAUCGGCCACAUUGGAACUGAGACACGGUCCAAACUCCUACGGGAGGCAGCAGUGGGGAAUAUUGCACAAUGGGCGAAAGCCUGAUGCAGCAACGCCGCGUGAGUGAUGAAGGCCUUUGGGUCGUAAAGCUCUGUCCUAAGGGAAGAAACAAAUGACGGUACCUUAGGAGGAAGCCCCGGCUAACUACGUGCCAGCCGCCGCCGUAACAC
rnacentral:rRNA from 1 species